rnacentral:rRNA from 1 species
UACGUAGGGGGCAAGCGUUGUCCGGAUUUAUUGGGCGUAAAGAGCGUGUAGGCGGUUUGGUAGGUCCGUUGUGAAAACUCGAGGCUCAACCUCGAGACGCCGAUGGAAACCAUCAGACUAGAGUCCGGAAGAGGAGAGUGGAAUUCCUGGUGUAGCGGUGAAAUGCGUAGAUAUCGGGAGGAACACCUGUGGCGAAAGCGGCUCACUGGACCAUUACUGACGCUGAUGCACGAAAGCUAGGGGAGCAAACAGG